AUUGAACGCUGGCGGCAUGCCUUACACAUGCAAGUCGAACGGCAGCACGGGAGCAAUCCUGGUGGCGAGUGGCGAACGGGUGAGUAAUAUAUCGGAACGUGCCCAGUCGUGGGGGAUAACGCAGCGAAAGCUGUGCUAAUACCGCAUACGAUCUACGGAUGAAAGCGGGGGACUCGCAAGGGCCUCGCGCGAUUGGAGCGGCCGAUAUCAGAUUAGCUAGUUGGUGAGGUAAAGGCUCACCAAGGCGACGAUCUGUAGCUGGUCUGAGAGGACGACCAGCCACACUGGAACUGAGACACGGUCCAGACUCCUACGGGAGGCAGCAGUGGGGAAUUUUGGACAAUGGGCGCAAGCCUGAUCCAGCAAUGCCGCGUGCAGGAUGAAGGCCUUCGGGUUGUAAACUGCUUUUGUACGGAGCGAAACGGUCUCUUCUAAUACAGGGGGCUAAUGACGGUACCGUAAGAAUAAGCACCGGCUAACUACGUGCCAGCCGCCGCCGUAA
rnacentral:rRNA from 1 species